rnacentral:rRNA from 1 species
GAUGAACGCUAGCGGCAGGCUUAAUACAUGCAAGUCGAGGGGCAGCAUGAUUGUAGCAAUACAAUUGAUGGCGACCGGCAAACGGGUGCGGAACACGUACACAACCUUCCAACAAGUGGGGGAUAGCCCAGAGAAAUUUGGAUUAAUACCCCGUAACAUAGCGAUGUGGCAUCACAUUGCUAUUAUAGAUUUUUCGCUUGUUGAUGGGUGUGCGGCUGAUUAGAUAGUUGGCGGGGUAACGGCCCACCAAGUCUACGAUCAGUAGCUGAUGUGAGAGCAUGAUAAGCCACACGGGCACUGAGACACGGGCCCGACUCCUACGGGAGGCAGCAGUAAGGAAUAUUGGACAAUGGACGCAAGUCUGAUCCAGCCAUGCCGCGUGAAGGAUUAAGGUCCUCUGGAUUGUAAACUUCUUUUAUAAGGGACGAAAAAAGGCUUUUCUAGGUCGUCUGACGGUACCUUAUGAAUAAGCACCGGCUAACUCUGUGCCAGCCGCCGCGGUAAAAC